UAACUUGAAUGUUGCACUGUGGUGGCACUAACCUAUGAAAGGUUGUGCAGUGUGUACAGACCAUAUGGAAACCACUUUCCGCUCAAUUUUGCUGUGAAUCUCAACCUUCUCUAAAAAAUAAUGUCUAUUAAAAAAAAAAGCAGGUGUAAAUGGAGGAAUACAAUAGAGGAAAGGCUGGACCCACAGCUGUGACACUGAACUCCGCUGACGUCCUGUAGUCCCGACAAAGACGCAGAGCUGGACUGCCUUUCUAAACACAAUCCAGGAGGCCAGUGCCUCUGCUAUCCUUCGCUCUGAGGCCACUGGCAGUAGAAACAGAUGCCUGAACCCUGUGAUCUGAGACUAACACCUGAACGUCCACAGGAAGAAAUGCAGGAUGUCCGAGUUGCCUGCUGCAAACCCCCGAGCCCUCCACCAGGGUUUCCUGAGCCACUGUUUGGGGAUGCCGACUGCCGCCUCUUAGGUCAGCCCCGCGAUCCCGGUGUCCCGGCUGGAACUGAGAAUGGAGUAGCUUGGCAAAGUAGUCUGCAGUGCUGCCUAUGAUGCAUACCAACGAGCAACUUACCCUUUCCAAACUCCUGUGACUUGGGAGAUUGCAUAACGUGGCUCUGCUUGGGGACAACUCACAGGUUACGAGCGCAUUUGUGAGAACAGCCCCAUCAUAACUGUGGUAAUGUAUAUGUAGAAUGUACCAAUAAACCUAGUAAAAUAAUGCAAAACAAGAAA